rnacentral:misc_RNA from 1 species
UUUCCGUAGGUGAACCUGCGGAAGGAUCAUUCACAAUAAGUGUUUUUAUGGCAUUUUACAUUCCAUCUUCACCAUGUGUCCAACGUUUUGAGGUCUUUUUAUCAUUUCGCCUGCUGCAUAAUGUUUGUUCUCCAGCCGCGGAAGGCAAGUUCAGCAGGCUUUUUAUAUCUUAACUCUGGAUCAUUAACAAAUCUUUCUGCAGCUCGAUUGCGAAUUAUCCUAUCAAAUAAAUACAACUUUCAACAACGGAUCUCUUGGCUCUG